rnacentral:rRNA from 1 species
CCAAUAGCGUAUAUUAAAGUUGUUGCAGUUAAAAAGCUCGUAGUUGAAUUUCGGGGUUCAUACGUUGGUCGGGCUUUUUUGGUCUGUACUUAUGUAAUGGAUUCCUACCUUCUGAAUAACCGGCAUGCCAUUAAUUUGGUGCGCCGGGGAAGCAGGACUGUUACCUUGAAAAAAUUAGAGUGCUUAAGGCAGGCUAUCGCCUGAAUACAUUAGCAUGGAAUAAUGAAAUAGGACGGCAUGGUUCUAUUUUGUUGGUUUCUAGGAUCACCGUAAUGAUUAAUAUGGAUAGUUGGGGGCAUUAGUAUUCAAUUGUCAGAGGUGAAAUUCUUGGAUUUAUUGAAGACUAACUUCUGCGAAAGCAUUUGCCAAGGAUGUUUUCAUUAAUCAAGAACGAAAGUUAGGGGAUCGAAGACGAUCAGAUACCGUCGUAGUCUUAACCAUAAACUAUGCCGACUAGGGAUCGGACGAUGUUAAUUUUUUAAUGACUCGUUCGGCGCCUUACA